CCUACGGGAGGCAGCAGUGAGGAAUAUUGGUCAAUGGACGAGAGUCUGAACCAGCCAAGUCGCGUGAAGGAUGACUGCCCUAUGUAUUGUAAACUUCUUUUAUCAAGGAAUAAAACGAGGCACGUGUGCCUUUUUGCAUGUACUUUAUGAAAAAGGAUCGGCUAACUCCGUGCCAGCAGCCGCGGUAAUACGGAGGAUCCGAGCGUUAUCCGGAUUUAUUGGGUUUAAAGGGAGCGUAGAUGGGUUUUUAAGUCAGUUGUGAAAGUUCGCGGCUCAACCGUAAGAUUGCAAUUGAUACUGGCAGUCUUGAGUACAGGUGAGGUAGGCGGAAUGCGUGGUGUAGCGGUGAAAUGCUUAGAUAUCACGAAGAACCCCGAUUGCGAAGGCAGCUUACUAACCUGUGACUGACAUUGAGGCUCGAAAGUGUGGGUAUCAAACAGGAUUAGAUACCCGUGUAGUC
rnacentral:rRNA from 1 species